rnacentral:rRNA from 1 species
GUGGGGAAUAUUGGACAAUGGGCGAAAGCCUGAUCCAACCAUGCCGCGUGUGUGAAGAAGGUCUUCGGAUUGUAAAGCACUUUAAGUUGGGAGGAAGGGCAGUAAGUUAAUACCUUGCUGUUUUGACGUUACCGACAGAAUAAGCACCGGCUAACUUCGUGCCAGCAGCCGCGGUAAUACGAAGGGUGCAAGCGUUAAUCGGAAUUACUGGGCGUAAAGCGCGCGUAGGUGGUUUUGUAAGUUGGAGGUGAAAUCCCCGGGCUCAACCUGGGAACUGCCUCCAAAACUGCAUGACUAGAGUACGGUAGAGGGUAGUGGAAUUUCCUGUGUAACGGUGAAAUGCGUAGAUAUAGGAAGGAACACCAGUGGCGAAGGCGACUACCUGGACUGAUACUGACACUGAGGUGCGAAAGCGUGGGGAGCAAACAGGAUUAGAAACCCGGGUAGUCC